rnacentral:rRNA from 1 species
GUGGGGAAUCUUAGACAAUGGGCGCAAGCCUGAUCUAGCCAUGCCGCGUGAGCGAUGAAGGCCUUAGGGUUGUAAAGCUCUUUCGUGGGGGAAGAUAAUGACUGUACCCCAAGAAGAAGCCCCGGCUAACUCCGUGCCAGCAGCCGCGGUAAUACGGAGGGGGCUAGCGUUGUUCGGAAUUACUGGGCGUAAAGCGCACGUAGGCGGACUGGAAAGUCAGGGGUGAAAUCCCGGGGCUCAACCCCGGAACUGCCUUUGAAACUCCCAGUCUUGAGUUCGCGAGAGGUGAGUGGAAUUCCGAGUGUAGAGGUGAAAUUCGUAGAUAUUCGGAGGAACACCAGUGGCGAAGGCGGCUCACUGGCUCGAUACUGACGCUGAGGUGCGAAAGCGUGGGGAGCAAACAGGAUUAGAUACCCCGGUAGUCC